AUUGAACGCUGGCGGCAGGCCUAACACAUGCAAGUCGAGCGAGCGGCGGACGGGUGAGUAAUGUAUGGGGACUGCCCGAUAGAGGGGGAUCACUACUGGAAACGGUAGCUAAUACCGCAUACUAUCGGAUAACCCAUAUGGGAUUAGCUAGUAGGUGAGGUAAUGGUUCACCUUGGCGACGAUCCUUCGCUGGUCUGAGAGGAUGAUCAGCCACACUGGGACUGGGACACGGCCCAGACUCCUACGGAGGCAGCAGUGGGGAAUAUUGCACAAUGGGCGCAAGCCUGAUGCAGACAUGCCGCGUGUAUGAAGAAGGACUUCGGGUUGUAAAGUACUUUUGGCAGAGAAGCGGUAUCUGCAGAAUAAGCACCGGCUAACUACGUGCCAGCAGCCGCGGUAAUAC
rnacentral:rRNA from 1 species